rnacentral:rRNA from 1 species
GCAAGUCUGGUGCCAGCAGCCGCGGUAAUUCCAGCUCCAAUAGCGUAUAUUAAAGUUGUUGCCGUUAAAAAGCUCGUAGUCGAACUUCGGUCCCUGUUGGUCGGUCCGCCUUCUUGGUGUGUACUUACUCAACGGGGACUUACCUCCUGGUGAGCUGCCAUGUCCUUUACUGGGUGUGGUAGGGAACCAGGACGUUUACUUUGAAAAAAUUAGAGUGCUCCAGGCAGGCCUAUGCUCGAAUAGAUUAGCAUGGAAUAAUGGAAUAGGACGUGUGGUUCUAUUUUGUUGGUUUCUAGGACCGCCGUAAUGAUUAAUAGGGAUAGUCGAAGGCAUCAGUAUUCAAUUGUCAGAGGUGAAAUUCUUGGAUCUAUUGAAGACUAACUACUGCGAAAGCAUUUGCCAA